UGAUCGAGACGACUUGGCGUUUACUGAAUUCACGAGAAUGACAAACAAAAUUCAAACUCAAUAGCAUAUUUCUUUAUUAGCAAACUGUAAACUAAGCUUCCUUGGUUGCAUAGUGGAUCUCUCUUUGUGCGUGAGUCAAGUCAAGUGCAGGAUGGGUAGUUGCUUCUCUAUCCAAAUAUCAGGCGAUUCAGUAUUGGACCGUGUUGGUAGCUGCUUAUGCGGAGAGGGCAAUCAUAUUCUUAACCUUGAGAAGAAUUUGGUGGCUCUGGAGAAAGCCAUGGUAGAACUCAAGGCAAGGCGAGAUGAUGUGUUAACAAGGGUCCGAUUUAGAGAAGCCAAAGGUCAACGAAGGCUAAGCGCGCGAAGUCCAGAGGCAGAGAACAUAUCUUCUUUCUCAAAAACUCAGUGAUCUCUUCUGGUAACGUUUUCCAUCCAUAAAAUCAGACCGGACAAGUGGAGGAGAUACAUAUCGAUGUGUUUCCUUCUCACCGAACAAUCACGGUUUCGACUCGCCUUUGAGACCAGAUUCAAUCGGGUGUGAACUUCAAGUCCAAAGAUAGGCGUCGGUAAACACAAGAUGUGCAUGGAUAUUGCGAAGCUGUGAUAAAAUCUCAUCAAUAAUAUUUGAAUUUGCAAGGAGGCUUUUUUUGACAAGAAUUUGAUAGUGUGCAAUUACACUUUUGUAAAGUGAAGCUUAAAUAAAUGACAAACGAUCUAGAACUAACCGUCA